rnacentral:lncRNA from 1 species
AGGCAAGGACGAACAUCAGGAGCCCCCAUUUCUCCAGCUGGCUGCUGUGUAACUCUAGGUAGAUCACGUAACCUCUCUGGGCCCCGGUUUCCUCCCUCCUCAUCUCCCAAGAAGUCUGAGCUCCCAGGUGUGGAGUGCUUUGGAAGUCGUUGCUAUGACGAUAGGAGAGCCGGGAGCAGGGCGGGGUGGCCUUGCGCAAAUGAUGCCACUUGUGAGGUCACCGGUCUGCCACCCAGGGAGAUGCCCCCAGCAGGGGCUGGAAUCCAGCCUGGGUUGAGUCAGCUCAGCGGGGCCCCUCCCCACGCACCCCCUUCGCCCCCGGCUUCCAUCCCACAGACGGGCUUUCUUGCGGUCUACCCCGUGUCCUCUGACAGAUUCUGAAAGCAGGUGGACGAGGGAAGACUUUAGCAGGAAAUAGCACAGAUGCAUCAGGAUGAAGUCUUUGAAUAACUGAAUAUACAAAGAGACAUAAAAAAAAUAAUAAUAAUAUUAAUAAUGGUAUUUGUUAAAAGCCCACUAUCUGCCAAGCACUGUUCUAAGCGCUGGGGGAGAAACGAGGUUAUCAGGUGGGGCUCACAGUCUUAAUUCCCAUUUUCCAGAGGAGGUAACGGAGGCUCAGAGAAGUCAGUGACUUGCCCGAAGUCACACAGCUGAAAAGUGGCGGAGUGGGGAUUAGAACCCAUGUGUGGUCUUUCCACUAAGCCAAGCUGCUUCUCUAAAUAAAACUCUUCCCUUGCACAAGAGUAGUGAGGAGAGGAAUAAAAGCACAAGUACCAAGAGGGAGUAUUAAUUAGGUUGGGGUGACUGAUUAGGGUGCGGAUUGAUCAGGGAGGUUUUCUAAGGAGGGUGGAGCGAUCGAUUCGUGUCUGCUUGUCUUCCCUAUUGGACUGAAAACGCCGCCCGAGAACAAGGAUGGCAUCUUAAUAAUAAUAAUACUGUUGGUAUUUGUUAAGCGUUUACUAUGUGCAGAACACUAUUCUAAGCGCUAGGGUAGAUACAGGGUCAUCAGGUUGUCCCACGUGAGGCUCACCGUUAAUCCCCGUUUUACAGAUGAGAUAACUGAGGCACAGAGAAGUUAAGUGACUUGCCCACAGUCACACAGCUGACA